GAUUUUGAUAAGGAUUCCAUUGAAUUUGUAGAUCAAUUUAGAGAGUAUUGUCAUCUUGGUUGCCGGCAAAGCUCGAGUCCUGUCCUCUUGCUCUCCUCCACGGACAGCAUGAGCUUCACCACUUGCUCCACCUUCUCCACCAACUACCAGUCCCUGGGCUCUGUCCAGGUGCCCAGCUAUGGUGCCUGGCUGGUCAGCAGUGUGGCUAGCGUCUAUGCAGGUGCUGGGGCCUCUGGUUCCCGGAUCUCCGUGUCCUGCUCCACCAGCUUCCAGGGCGGCAUGGGGUCUGCGGCCUGGCCACAGGGAUGGCCAGGGGUCUGACAGGAAUGGGAGGCAUCCAGAACAAGAAGGAGACCAUGCAAAGUCUGAACGACCACCUGGCCUCCUACCUGGGCAGAGUGAGGAGCCUGGAGACUGAGAACCAGAAGCUGGAGAGCAAAAUCCGGAAGCACCUGGAGAAGAAGGGACCCCAGGACAGAGGCUGCAGCUAUUAUUUCAAGACCAUGGAGGACCUGAGGGCUCAGAUCUCUGCAAAUACUGUGGAAAAUACCCGUGUUGUUCUGCAGAUCGACAGUGCCCGUCUUGCUGCUAAUGACUUUAGAGUCAAGUAUGAGACAGAGCUGGCCAUGCGCCAGUCUGUGGAGAACGACAUCCAUGGGCUGCUCAAGGUCAUCGAUGACACCAAUGUCACUCGCUGCAGCCGGAGACAGAGAUCGAGGCCCUCAAGGAGGAGCUGCUCUUCAUGAAGAAGGAUCACGAAGAGGAAGUAAAAGGCCUACAAACCCAGAUUGCCAGCUCUGAGUUGACCGUGGAGGUAGAUCCCCAAAUCUCAGGACCUCGCCAAGAUCAUGGCAGACAUCCGGGCCCAAUAUGACAAGCUGGCUUGGAAGAAACAAGAGGAACUGGACAAGUACUGGUCUCAGCAGAUUGAGGAUGCCACCAGAGUGGUCACCA